rnacentral:tRNA from 1 species
GAAUAUGUUAGCUCAGCUGGUAGAGCAUCUGCUUGACGUGCAGGAGGUCACAGGUUCGAGUCCUGUACCGUCCACCA